ACUUUUAUUCUUAAACUCCGGGACUACAGUGCUAAAACCAAUAUAUAUCUAUGAUUUAAAAAAAAUCAAAAUAGCCCAUUGAUAUCAACAAGGUUUGUUUGUAGCCUUCCCAAACAUUCCCAUCAUCACGUUCAUAACAAAGUACACCUACACUUCACAUACUUGGUUAAAAUUGUAGCUUUCAUAAGCAUUCCCCAUGUUCCUCACUGAGAGCUCAUAACCAAAUACAGAUAAUAAUAAAAAUCAAUAUUCCUUGACAUCUUUUAGAGGAAAAUACAGAUACACUUGAACUACACCUUCAGACCAUCCCAUUUGAUCUAUCCAUCCUGUUCAAAGACAUGUUGCUAUGACAUCCUAGAGGUCAUUCAUGAGAUCCUAGUUUGUAAAAAUAAGCACAUUAGUUCAGUGAUGGUAGAGAUAGCAAAACACUUUUUCUGAAAUGCUACGAUUUCCAAAUCAUCAAACAGUAGACCACUUUGAAAUACUGAAAGGAAUGUAGGCUUAAUUUCUUUGGCUUCAGUGAUGCUAAUAACCACGUUACCGUUGUAUAAGUGACUAUGAAAAAUGAAUAGUCAGCUGAAGCUCUUACAAGCAGUUGUAGCUGUUAAUAGUCCAAAAACUUAGUCUGGCGGGCAACAGAAAGAAAAGUACCACAUAAUCAAAAUUGCAAGUUGGCAGCUGUACUAAUCAAAAAGUGGAACCUGUCUGAAAAAAUAAAGUAAUUGAAAUGUAAUAAUUGAAUAUUUUCAUUAUCAGUCAGCGAUAUAGGCUAGAGACUAUUUUCUGCUAACAUAGUUGCAGGAAUAAACUUUGGGCGAAACUAUGAUUGUAUAAUUUAGAUAAACAUGACCAACUGUUUCUGCUAAAUUCCAAGAAGCAUUAUAAGCGAAGCAAACAUUUAAGGCAUAAUUAACACUCCUCCCUACGAUACACACUCAAAAGCGAGUCUAGGGAUUGAUGCAUCAAUAUUUACUCAUGUGUUAUAACUAUAUGUAAAGCAUAUAUUGCCUUGAUAUCGUCACCAGUAUUUUAUUUUCAGGGCAAGGAUAAACUAAGAUUGCUAAUGUAACUACUCUUGUACUUAAACUAAAAGUGUAUCUCAAUCUAUUAGAACUGAUUAUCACAAUUCAUUAGGAAAUAGUAUGAAACUUCUCCUUUGCAAUUUAAUGCAUGGAACAUUUUUUCUUGCCUCGAGGUGAAUUAUAUGGGCUAGUCAUCUAAAACUAUAGUUAAAGCCAAUAAAUAAUCUGUGCGCACAAAAGGAAACAAAAUCAACCAGAUACUCUAAAAGAAGUGGUGAAUGAUAUUAAUCACCGAUUAUGGAUAAAUGAAUUAAUGAUUUCACUUCUAUCAAAGGUGGCAUACACAUGGAUGUAUAAGUGCAGGCUAGCACGUAGUGAACAAAGUAAUUUCUGAUAGGAUAAGUGCAGGCUAGCACAUAGUGAACAAAGUAAUUUCUGAUAGGCAUUAGUGAUAAACAUCAUCCAAGAUAGUGAUCGGACGAUUAAUUCCUCGCACACCUCAUUGCAACCAUGAUGGUCAGCAUCAAACAUGCAAACAAUCAUUUGCUCAAGCUCUUGUGACUUUGUGAGUCAUGUGCUGGCGGCCUAGUACUGAAAUUCAAACAUAGCCAAGGGAAAAAAUCCUUAUGUGCAGAGAAUGACAGCCGCUCACCAUGGCUCCUGUUGAGUGUAGAGGAUGAGAGGUGCCUACGGCGCAAUAGUAAUCAUCAGAGUUGUCAUAUCAGUAGACAAAUACCAUGAUUUUUGAAAAGAACCAUCAUUAGUGCAGCCCACCGCGGCACCUUGUUGUUGCCAAUUCAGCUGAAUGGUCUACAUCAUGAAUAAUCAAUCAAGCAUCAUCAUCUCUAAAUGCCAGCAGCAAGCAACAAUAGCAGAAGCAACAACGACAAGCACACGAAAGAGUCAGCAGUAGCUGCCCGGGCCGGCCACUUCAGCUUGGGCAGCGCACGAGCAGCACGCAACAGCGACUACGCACGAGCAGCAUGCAGCAGCGACGGCACAUGAGCACGAGCAGUGGCAGCGCACGAGCGCGCGGUGGCUAACGGAGGCAAAUAACAGCGGCCAUCUCCUACGCGUGGUGGCCGGCAGCAGCGCUUGACCGGGCAGAGGAGCGGUGGCCCUAGGUGGUUGGGGGGAAGGAGAUAGAGGACUCACCGGGGUCACUGGGAGGCGGUCGUUGGCCACACCGUAGAGGGCCGCCGGGGGCGCCGUCGUCGACCACUGAAGCCCUGAUGACCUCCUCCAAAUCGAUUCCCCUCAGCCAAGCAGCGGUGGACCGACACUUGCCUUUUCUCUCACGCGGCGUGAAGAUUUUGACCAGAUGGGAACGUCGGUUGCAUGCAGUGCCCUCCACAGGGUCUACAUCGAGGCCUGACCCUAAC
rnacentral:lncRNA from 1 species